rnacentral:rRNA from 1 species
GACGAACGCCGGCGGCGUGCUUAACACAUGCAAGUCGAACGGAGAGGCCCUGCUUUUGUGGGGUGCUCGAGUGGCGAACGGGUGAGUAACACGUGAGUAACCUGCCCUUGACUUUGGGAUAACUUCAGGAAACUGGGGCUAAUACCGGAUAGGAGCUCCUGCUGCAUGGUGGGGGUUGGAAAGUUUCGGCGGUUGGGGAUGGACUCGCGGCUUAUCAGCUUGUUGGUGGGGUAGUGGCUUACCAAGGCUUUGACGGGUAGCCGGCCUGAGAGGGUGACCGGCCACAUUGGGACUGAGAUACGGCCCAGACUCCUACGGGAGGCAGCAGUGGGGAAUAUUGCACAAUGGGCGGAAGCCUGAUGCAGCAACGCCGCGUGCGGGAUGACGGCCUUCGGGUUGUAAACCGCUUUCGCCUGUGACGAAGCGUGAGUGACGGUAAUGGGUAAAGAAGCACCGGCUAACUACGUG